UUUAAUGCUGGACACAGAAAAGGGUUACAAAUUCCAUACUGUAAGUCCUUAAAGCAGCAGCAAUGUUACGUAGCUGAGUCAAAUUUGUCACUGUUUAGUGUUAUUAUUUUAAAACCUGUUGAUACUAUUUAACCUAUCCUGUAAGUAAGAAAAUUUUUCUUUAUUUCUUACUCAUUCAAAUUUACUGGGUUUGCAAGAUUUUGUAAACUCUUUGUUUUUAGCCUUUGUAUUUUUUACAGCCUAGAACCUUGCAAAGUCUUACUAUUUUUUAAAUGUUGUAUCUUAACUAACUUACAACUAUGAUAUUUUUGGCAGAAAGCAUUUUCAUACUAGGUUUGAUUUGUGGUCUCCAAUCUUACUGCAAGGGCCCUUGAUAGGUUGUUCUUUUUCUUACUCAAAGGUAACCAAGUGCCUCUAAGUCAUGCUUACUUGUAAACAACAAUGAAGAGGAUCAUGUGUACCUUGUACCUGCUCAAAGUUUUUGAUAAUUGCUUUUAUAAUUAAUUUCUAAUGAUAGGGACAUGUAAAGAAGUUGCUGAUAAAAGCAUAUUGUGUUUUCAACUAAAUCAAGAUGGCUAAUGAGAUUAACUUUCAUCUCUCAUGUUGGAAAUGAUUUAAAUGUUUCUCCUCACAAUCGUAUUAAAGUAAAUCGCUGUAGGCAUGAAGAUGGAUGGAUCAUAUGUCCAAAUGAUUUUUUAUUCACCUACUACUUAUUAAGCAAUAUUCAGAAAGAAAUUUUACACUGUCAUGUUGGACUCAAGGACACUUGGCUUUUAUCACAACUUAUUUAAAUAAAAAAUUGCCAGUAGCUGGGUUAUUAAAUUAUGCAACUGAAACUCCUGAAUUAUGUCUUAUAUCCCUUAAUAGGGUUGGAGACCACGGCAGUUUAGGAUAAUACAAUAAUGAAACAUUUUAAUCAGUACUAAAACUUUGAUUCUGUAAUGAUGCAUGCCUAUUGUAGCUGACAGCAUGGGUCAGUCCGUUCUUCAGUGAGUGCCUUACUCUAGUUGAAACCAAGCACAUGUAAGGUACAGUAUGUUAGACUAUCUAGUUACGUUUUUAAAACCCCCUAUUACCUUCUCAGUAUAAAGUGCCAAGAAAUCUUGCAAGACAGAAUCCAUACAUACACUCUUUCCAAAACACUGUGACCAUGUAUAGUAGACGUUUUUAUUUCCUGAUGACCAAAUCUCUCAGUGAAUCAUGUUAAAUAUUUUAGUGCUCCUCAGUUUUCUCUUUUAUGACCCUCUCCUUGGAGUACACAGGAGGA
rnacentral:lncRNA from 1 species